AUAUAUUCAGCCAUUUAAGUCCAUCAACCUCCAGGCUAUAAAAGAAAGAGCUAAAGAUUCUUUAAGAAGAUUGGCAGAGAAGACCCGUGGGCAAAGAGAUGUCAGAGGACUGAGCUUCCUCCUCUCAGAAGGGGUCCUGUGUCUCCCUCACCCACUCCAAGAGUGGGCAGGUCCAGCUUCCACAGAGAGCUUGGCCUGAGCCCCUGAAGCCUAGGGGACACACUGACAGAAGGGACCUUGGGAAUAGAGCAGGGCUUGCGGCAUCUAGAGGGAACCCCAUCCAAGAGCUCCAUCUGCCUGGGCUGGGAGACCUCAACAGAAAGGCCCUGUGCCAGGGGCACUGCCAGAAGCACAGCAGAGGAUGGCGCCAGACAAAGGCACAGUAGGAGGGUCCCUCACGGGGGAGAUGCUCCAAGUAGCCCAGAUGUGCCCCACAUCACAUGGGCAUCUGCUCAGCCAGAGGGCACCAGCCCAAACCGCAAACUGAGCCUACUUUAGGGACUUCCCUGGUGGUCCAGUGGUUAAGAAUCCGUCUUCCAAUGCGCAGGACGCAGGUUCGAUCCCUGGUUGGGUAACUAAGAUCCCACAUGCCACGGGGCAACGAAGCCGGCGCGCUGCAACUAGAGAGAAGCCCGCGCACCGUGAGGAAGAGCCCGCAUGCUGCAACUAAGACCCUACACAGCCAAAAAUAAAGUAAAUAAAUAAAUAGAUAAAUGUUUUUU